rnacentral:lncRNA from 1 species
CCCCUUGCAAAUGUUAUGCUUAAAUUCGAUGUGAUUUCCUGAACUCUAUUGCAGUGACAACAAUUGGCGAUUGGUACGAGUACUCAUUGAUAUAUCAAUGUUUAACUGUCAGUCUAAGGUUUGAGCUUUUGAUGCGACUGUCAUUGUACUGAACGUCAGUUAGAGCUCGAUUGAAGUCCAGUACUGAAAAGUAUAUUAACUCUGGAUUGGUAGAAUGACAACGUGCAAGUACUUGAGUUUGAGGGGGUAGAUUUCUUCUACCCGCUGUUCAAAAAUACCCAAAUCAACGCGUAUUUCGUCAUGCUAGUACUGAUCAAGAAGAUGUUGACUUGUACUGUUGUACAUUCAGUUCACAUGGUCGAGAUGUGCACUUGUUUAAUUUCAUAUUUCUGAAGUACAGGAGGAUGAGUGCUCUCUCUCCUACAGGUCAAAACUACAGCUCUUUUGCUCGUAAACAAUGCUUGGUGUCACUAGAAAACGAGGAAACUUAAAAUUCCGUGAGAAACCAUGUGCUUGAGAUUUCCCACUGAAAUANNNN